rnacentral:lncRNA from 1 species
GUACACAUGCUUUUUAAAUAAGAUCUCAUCUCCGAGUUAGAGUAAACUGUCAAGACUUAAAACUUACUUACUUUACCUUCUACCAUGGGACUUGUAACUGUCACUUCUGUCUUGAGUAGUUAAAAGAUAGAACAGUCUACUCAAGUGUCAUGUCUCUUAUUCUUGAUCAGCUAUAGCUCUAGAGUUUUUGUAGAUUUUCAAAUAAAACUCAGAGAUUCCUUGUAUGAUUCCCUCAUAUCUCUCUUUUGUGGUAUUUCUGGAUCCUUACCAAGGCAGUGAUGGUAUAUGCCUUCUGUCAAAAUAUGUGGUAUUUGUGGUAUAAGGCAUAGUGACAUUGCCUUCUCUCUCACCCUAUUCUAAUAAGGCUUUAAUAUCUGGGGCUCAUAGGUGGGAGAUAAAGUAUACAUACUCACAAGACAUUUAUUGUAUAGUCAAACCAUGGAUCCAAAGAAACAAAUCAAUAAGCCAAAUCAAGAUGUGCAUGUGUGGCGAAUGAAUGAUGUAUGGUGAUGAUGGUGAUAACAAUGGUGAAAGUCUAAUUCUACAUUUGCUCUUUGAGGGGAUACAUACCUUCCUUGCUUUUUGAAACUUUAUGAGGAGAAUGAGAUGCUCUUCUUUUUCUUUUCUCUCAUGUGGGUAUCUUGUACCCCUAAUUCUACUGUAGGACACUUGUCCAUUUUUACCUCUCGUCUCACUCUUUUUAUUUUCUUUCGAGGUUCCGGGCACUUGCCCCUUUUUAUUUUCUCGUAUCUUUCUCACUUUUUUUUAGAACACUCAUCUCUUGAGAUAAUAUAGCAAGUGGUAGUAACAAGUUUUCUUGAGCAUUUAUUUCACAAAGGAAAAACAGAAAUAUUUUUGGCUAUUCUCUCCCGGAUUAGGAGUAGAAUAUUUUUAGGUGGUUCUAGAGAUGAGAAUGGGUGGAUAUAUGUGGAUGGUACUUCCGGAGUAGAAGUAGCAUAUAUGAGUGAACGUGCAAGUGAAAUCUUGAUUUAAACUACAUGACAAGCUCCUAAGGGUCUACACAGCUUGACCACACUCAAUGCUCAUAAGCUGUAAAUGUAAAUGUGUGGCUCAAAGUCUAGCAAGCAUGUAUAUAUGGCUGUGGUAGGAAUUUAAACUCUCAUCAUACAGGAACUCAUCAUGCAAUAUUUUAAAGAUUUUCAAAGAUAAAAUUCUCCAGAAUUCUAGCAUCUCUAGGAACAGAUAAACAGUAGCUCAACCUUCCCAUAUCGUAUCCGUUAACAACUUAGACUUCAGAUCAAGUUUUCAUCCCACAAGAGCAAGCUUUAAAUUAUAACAGUUAUGUCUAAACUUAAGAGAGAACUUAAAAUGUGCAAAUUAGGCAGAGCAACUAUUCAUCAUAUCCAUACUAGAGUUUUAUUUAGAUACAGAUUAGCAUAGCCACUUUAUUUAUUUACACACUAAGCAAAAGAUAUAUAUAUAUAUAUAUAAGCAUAAAAUCUUUAUUUGGUUAUUCAUAGUUAUAUUUUAAUAUAGUAUAAGUAUAUAAAUAUAGAUAGAAAGAUAGAAAUACUUAUCGGGAUAAAUGGGGGUGCUCUCCCCCAAGCUGAAUUUUGACGUAAUUUCUCUUGAUGUAGCUAGUAGGUGGCAGAGGUGUAUUUGAAAGUUAGCAGCAUUCUGACAGCGAUUAGAAUGUCCUCCGUCUGCUAGUCUUCUUGAUGCUUAAUCCUGUGGAGCUCAAAUAGACAACAAAGCUUGUGGAGCAUAAAUAUCUAGCCUUUAUCAUGUUGAGACUCCUUAAUAAUUAUUACUCCCUAUUUUUAUAUUUUCAUUUUAUAGAAAAAAAUAUUUAUUUUAUUUUUAUGCCACCACAGUGAAUGUACUUAUGGGUGUUAUGCCACUCGUAUACUCACAUGGGGCUUAUUGUUUUUCACAUUUUUAUUUUCUUUUUAGAGUAGUAUGAACAUGAUUAACUAAGCAAACUAUUUGAAAUUAACUAAGUAAACUAUUUUAAAUAAUUGAAAGGGAAAGGAUAACUACCAAGUUUACCUCUUGGCAAGGCGUUCGGUGUUUUUAAGUCCUCCGAACGGGACUCUCCGUUUUCUCAAUUGUCCUGGGAUUCGUUGGGUGGCGUAGUCGAUACUUCCGGCGGCGCCUCCUCUUCAUGUAUAGUUAUCUUCUCUUUCCAUACCUGACUCGGUGCUACGGUCUCCUCUGGAUAAUUAUGUUUAAACUCUACGUCUUCUGACCUUACAACUUCUCCUUCAUAGUCUGCCCAUCCGUCCUUGAUGAUCUGCCUCCUCUGGUUGCGGUUGCGUCGUUUCCUGACCUGCUUAGAUUCUUCAACGAUAUAGUCAGGGUCAAUAAAAUAACGGCGUACCUUCUCUCAGGGGAAGUGCAUAUGGACUUCUCCGGUUCCAAUGUAGAUAAUUGCUUUAACGGUGCUGAGGAACGGUCUUCCAAGGAUGACGGGUGGAUCAUAUUCGUCUUCACCCAUGUCAAUAACCUGAAAGUCUGUGUAGACAAAAUGAUCGUCUAUUUUGACUAGGACAUCAGUUACUAUUCCUUUAACCUCUCGAAACGUCUGAUCUGCCAUCUGGAGCUGAAUGUAUGUUGGUCUUAGUGGCAUGGUUCCGAACAAGAGCCGAUAGGUGACUGUGGCCAUUAUAUUGACGCCCGAUCCGGUGUCGCAAAACGUCUUGUAGAAGUUGUAUCCAUUUAUUGAGCAAUAGAUGCUUGGCAUUCUUGGGUCGUUCUUCUUGGUCAAAAACGGUGAUUUAAGUUGAUGAUCUUGGCCUCCAUGAACUACAGUGACCAUCUUAGCUGACUUGGUCCACACUUGCUUGUUCCUAUUCCUCCUGUUGGUCCUCUUCCUUGGUUCAUGUCUGGAUUGAUCUGGGAUUUGUGUAGUCUUGUUCUUGAAGAAAAAUGUCUCCUUCCUCCGUUUGAUGUAGAAACUAAUCUUGGCAGCGCUAGCGUAGAUGAUAGCUCUCGUGGUGUUCAAGAAUGGCCUCCCUAAGAUGAUGGGUGCCCUCUCAUCAUUUCCGGUCUCUACCACUACGAAGUCUGCUGGGGCAUACAAGGUACCAACUCGGACACAAAGGUUCUUCAAUAUCCCCUUUGGAAAAGUUAUCGUCUGAUCUGCAAACUGCAAACACAUGGUUGUCUCUAAUAAAGGAUGUGUAAAGAAUUUCUCAUAGAGUACCCUAGGUAUAAUGUUGACGCUGGAGCCAAAGUCACAGAGUGCUUCUCGAACGUCCACCAUGCCGAUGGAGAUCGGGAUGACGGGGCGUCCUGGAUCACCUCUCUUGACCGGCAGAAGGUCAGUAGUAAAUUCAGUGACGGGGUUACUCCAAUUACCUGCUGUUGACGGUCCUUAAGUAUCAAAUUUAAUUAUCAAAUAAAUAAAGAAAAGGAUCCAAAUGAAAUCGACAUCUAGACUUAGGGUUUUAUCUGACAGAAUUCCACGAGUUUUGGUGUUUGUCUAUUUCUGCAGGGGGUUAUCAGGAAAUACGGAAGAAAGGCCCACACGUCGGGAUUACAUAGAGAUAUUAACAUGCCGCGCAAUUAUCUUACGUCUAGAAGACUCCAGAAGCCACGAGACCGAAGCGGAGGCGAAACGGGGCCAGAGGCAGGGCGCCCGCCCUCGUGUCCUGGGCGCCCGCCCCCUCCCUGAGUCCAAUCAGGACUCUGCUUCGUGGGAGAUUUCCACCGACCUAAAGGAUGAAUCUAAACCAUACAAUCUAUGUCGGUUUGAUCCAAUGGCCCAUAUUCACUUGAAGGGACUAUAAAACCAGACCCCCUGGCCCCUGGAGGAGGGAGCCUCUCAACCCUAAUUCAUUAUUCUCAAGGGAGAAGAAGCCUCUGAUCAAGAUUAGAGCCACCACAUCAAUUAGAUAUCUAGAUUAGCAUAGCUACAUAGGAUUAGAACUAGAAGGAGUCAAUCUUCGAUUGGUUUCCGGAUCUGUCAGGAGGAUUCUUGGUAAUUCUCUAAUUGUGCUUCUAAUUACUUUCUAAUUAUCUUUGUUCUUCAAUAUUAUGAAUAUGACUUUGUUCUACUUCAAUAUAUUGCUUAUGACUUUGCUCUACUUGCUUAUAUUCAAGAUUAUAUUGUUCUUAGUUUAUCAUAGUUAUGUACUUGGCUUAGUUAGAUUCAAUCUAUAUACAUGCUUAGGAUCGUAUAGCGUUUAUCCAUCGGAUCCAUGGGUAAAUGAUAGAUAUUGUGUAGGCGUGGUGCUUAUACUGUAUUUAUCUGCGAUUGUACCCAAUAUGCCAGAUCGUGGGGUGGUUCGUGAUAGUGACAGCUUCAUUGAUUCUUAUAUAGUCCCCCUCUCGUGUAUUGGGCUGGCAGAGCAACAUUAUUACAGGGGAGUGAUUGCUAUGUUUCUCAUAUUCCUUGCUAAUAUCACUAUGCAUGGGCGUAGUCUUGUCUCACAAUGAUUGCUAAGUAUGCUUGCACUAAUUAUGAUAAUGCUAGACUAUAUAGUUGAGAAUAACUUAGGGAAUAUUCUUGUAGUUCAUUCUAAUACCAUGCUAAUGACUUUCUAGAGUAUCUAAUUGAGGUGCUUAUCAUAUUUAUUAUGUGGCUAGAUCACAUUAGUUAUCCUUGUCACUAUUAUUAUUUCAUAUAUCUUUUAUGUGACAAUUAUCCCUGUAUGAAGAGUUAGAUAUAAUGUUCUCAAUUAUACAUGCAAUGAUAGAUGCUCAAUCUCAUAUUCUAUUCUGUAAUCAAUAGUCAUGACUUCUAAUCCCUUCCUAGUGGUAAAAAUAUAAAUAACGAUACCUGGAAUACUUCCUGAUUAAAAUGCUACAUCGGUAUUAAUCUGUGCGCUUGCAGAUCCCAUUCAUUAUUUAUUUAGAAGAGCAAUUGCAUAUUUCAAUACCGUGUCUCUUAUAUCAUGCUGGGGAUGACAACUUGGCUUAAGUGGUGUGAGGGAUAGGUUUGGCAUUUUUGGCACCGUUACUAAAUUUAGAGAACUUAGUCUACUUUUGGUAAUGAUGUUAAGAAUACCCAACAAGCAUUUUUGGCGCCGUUGCCGGGGAAGGUUGAUUAAUAAUCAAGAAUGGAAUAAAAGAUUUUGUGUUAUCAUUCGCAUCACUAAUGUGAUUGAGCUUAUCUAUUCUCUCAUACAGUUUUACCCUGAUAUUUUUCUAUUUUAUCUUAUGCAGGGGAAUGUAUGAAUAGAAGACAUCUUCCAGGAAAUUUUGUUGACAAUCCCGAAGCAUUAUUCAAGAAGACGAGAGCCAAGCUCAAGAAGAGAUCAUCAACACUUCAGCAAGAAGCUUCAUCCAAUCAAGAAGAUCACCGGAACUUGUCUUCAGAGUUCGAAGCCAUGGCGAACAAAUCAAUCCGCGAGUUCUCAGCUCCCACUACGGACAACAUCCGCACUGGACCUGCUGCAGAGAUCGAUGGCAACUUUGAGCUCAAGCCUGGACUUAUCAACAUGGUGCAAUCCAACCAGUUCUGUGGGAAGGCAUAUGAAGAUGCUAGUGCUCAUUUACAACACUUCCUGGAGAUUUGCAUCACAUUCACCAUAUCAGGAGUUUCCAAAGAUGCUAUACUACUUCGCCUCUUCCCAUUCUCACUGUUAGGAAGAGCGAAGCAGUGGUUCUACGCUACAAAGGAGAAGAAUACUACGUGGGCACUCUGCUCAACAAACUUCCUGGCAAAGUUUUUCCCAUGGGCAAGACCAAUGCUCUCCGUGGGAAGAUUACAAGUUUUCCGCAACAAAAUGAUGAAUCCGUUCCAGAAGCAUGGGAGCGCUUCCAAGACUACAUCCUAGAAUGUCCCCAUCAUGGAAUGGAGAGUUGGCUAUUGAUGCAGACAUUUUAUCAUGGGCUCGGCAACAGUGCCCGAGAAACCAUGGAUGCUGCAGCCGGAGGAGCAUUCUUAUCACUUACCAUACCACAAGCUACAGCUCUUGUGGAGAAGAUGGCGUCCAAUCAAAGCUAGAAUGAAGAGAGGACCCAGACACGCAAGAGAGGUGGAGGUAUGCAUCAGCUGAAGGAGGUAGACAUGCUGUCUGCAAAGCUAGACCUGCUCAUGAAGAAGCUCGACGAUAGAGCUGGAGACAAGAAAGAAGUUAUGCACAACUACGACUCUCACAUGACUUGUGAGGAGUGUGGAGAUACUGGACACUCAGGCAAUCACUGCCCUGAGAUAUUUGAGGAUGUGAACUACAUCAACAACAACAACUACUACUACUACAACCGUCCUCAACAAAAUCAAGGUUGGAAUCAACAGAGGCCUAACUACUCAGGUAAUUAUCAAGGUAACAAUUCCAACAACAACAAUAAUAAUUUUCCACCUUUGAGAGAGUUAGUGUCUAAUCAAGAAAAGCUAAUGGAUAACCUAUCUAAGAAAUUGGCAUCUAAUGAUAAAAUGCUAGAAAAUAUAAAUAAUAGAAUGGAUAAUUUCUCUACUGCCAUCAAGAAUCAAAUUAGCUUUAAUAAAAUGAUUGAAUCUCAGUUAAAUCAAAUAGCUGCUGCUGUUCCUACUAGUAACCCCGGUAUACCAUCACAACCGGAAGGAUUAGAAUCUGCAAAUCUUGUAGACAUGUUUGAUGCAGGUAAUUGGAGUAACCCCAUCACUGAAUUCUCUACUGACCUUCUGCCGGUCAAGAGAGGCGAUCCAGGACGCCUCGUCAUCCCGAUCUCCAUCGGCAUGGUGGACGUUCCAGAAGCACUCUGCGACUUUGGCUCUAGCGUCAACAUUAUACCCAGGGUACUCUAUGAAAAAUUCUUUACAUAUCCUUUAUUAGAGACAUCCAUGUGUUUGCAGUUUGCAGAUCAGACGAUAACUUUUCCAAAGGGAAUAUUGAAGAACCUUUGCGUCCGAGUUGGUACCUUAUAUGCUCUAGCAGACUUCAUAGUGGUAGAGACCGGAAAUGAUGAGAGAGCACCUAUCAUCCUAGGGAGGCCAUUCUUGAACACCACGGGAGCUAUCAUCUACGCCAGUGCUGCCAAGAUCAGUUUCUAUGUCAAAGGGAGGAAGGAGACAUUUUUUUCAAGAACAAGACUACACAAAUUCCAGAUCAAUCCAGACGUAAAUCAAGGAAGAGGACCAACAGGAGGAACAGGAACAAGCAAGUGUGGACCGAGUCACCUACGAUGGUCACUGCAGUUCAUGGAGGCCAAGACAACCAACUUAAGUCACCGCUUUUGACCAAGAAGGACGACCCAGGAAUGUCAAGCAUCUACUGCUCCAUAAAUGGAUACAACUUCUACAAAGCGACUUGUGACACCGGAUCGGGCGUCAACAUAAUGGCCGCAGUCACCUAUCGGCUCUUGUUCGGAACCAUGCCACUAAGACCAACGUACAUUCAACUCCAGAUGGCAGAUCAGACAUUUCGAGAAGUCAAAGGAAUAGAAACUGAUGUCCCAGUCAAAAUAGACGAUCACUUUGUCUACACAGACAUUCAAGUUAUUGACAUGGGAGAAGAUGAAUACGAUCCACCCAUCAUCCUUGGAAGACAGUUCCUCAGCACCAUUAAAGCAAUUAUCUACAUUGGAACCGGAGAAGUCCAUAUGCACUUCCCCUCAGAGAAGGUACGCCGUUAUUUUACUGACCCUAACUAUACCAUUGAAGAAUCUAAGCAGGUAAGAAAGCGACGCAACCGCAACCAGAGGAGGCAGAUCAUCAUGGACGGAUGGGCAGACUACGAAGGAGAAGUUGUAAGGUCAGAAGACGUAGAGUUUAAACAGAAUUAUCCAGAGGAGACUGAAGCACCAAGUCAGGUAUGAAAAAUGAAGAUAACUAUAAAUGAAGAGGAGGCGCUGCCAGAAGUACCGACUACGCCACCCAACGAACCUCAGGAUGAUUAAGAAAAUGGAGAGUCCCGUUCGGAGGACUUAAAAAUACCGAACGCCUUGCCAAGAGGUAAACUUGGUAGUUAUCCUUUCCCUUUCAAUUAUUUUAAAUAGUUUACUUAGUUAAUCAUGUUCAUACUAUCUUAAAAAUAAAAGAAAAUAAAAAUGUAAAAAACAGUAAGCCCCAUGUGAGUAGACGAGUGGCAUAAAACCCAUAAGUACAUUCACUGUGGUGGCAUAAAAAAAAUAAUUAUUUUUCUGCUCUAUAAAAAUAAAAAUAUAAAAAUAGGGAGUAAUAUUUAUUAAGGAGUCUCAACAUGAUAAAGGCUAGAUAUUUAUGCUAACACUUAACCAGUUCCACAAGCUUUGUUGUCUAUUUGAACUCCACAGAAUUUAAGAAUCAAGAAGACUGGCAGACGGAGGACAUUCUAAUCGCUGUCAGAAUGCUGCUGACUUUCAAAUACACCUCUGCCACCUGCUAGCUACAUCAAGGGAAAUUACGUCAAAAUUCAGCUUGGGGGAGAGCACCCCCAUUUAUCUCGAUAAGUAUUUCUAUCUAUCUUUAUACUUAUAUUAUUUUAGAAUAUAAAUACACAUAAACUAUGGAAAACCAAAUAAAGAGUUUGUGCUUAUAUAUAUAUAUGUCUUUUGCUUAGUGUGUUUAAUAAAUAAAUAAAGUGGCUAUGCUAAUCUGUAUCUGAAUAAAACUUAAGCAUGGAUAUGAUGAAUAGUUGCUCUGCCUAAUUUGCAUAUUUUAAGUUCUCUCUCAAGUUUAGACAUAACUGUUAUAAUUUAAAGCUUGCUCUAGACCUAAACUUGUGGGAUGAAAACUUGAUCUGAAGUCUAAGUUGUUAACGGAUACGAUAUGGGAAGGUUGAGCUGCUGUUUAUCUGUUCCUAGAGAUGCUAGAAUUCUGGAGAAUUUUAUCUUUGAAAAUCUUUAUAAUGUUGCAUGAUGAGUUCCUGUAUGAUGAGAGUUUAAAUUCCUACCACAGCCAUAUAUACAUGCUUGCUAGACUUGGAGCCACACAUUUAAUAUUUACUACUUAUGAGCAUUGAGUGUGGUCAAGGUGUGUAGACCCUUAGGAGCUUGUCAUGUGGUUAAAUCAAGAUUCACUUGCACGUUCACUCAUAUAUGCUACUUCUACUCCGGAAGUACCAUCCACAUAUAUCCAUCCAUUUCCAUCUCCAGAAUCACCCAAAAAUAUUCUACUCCUAAUUUGGGAGAGAAUAACCAAAAAUAUUCCUGUUUUUCCCUUGUGAAAUAAAUGCUCAAGUUAUCUUGUUACUACCACUUGCUAUAUUAUCUCAAGAGAUGAGUGCUUAUAAAAAAAAGAGAGAAAAAAAAUAAUACGAGGAAAUAAAAAUGAGCAAGUGCUCGGAACCUCGAAAGAAAGAAAAAGUGAGACGAGAGGUAAAAAUGGACAAGUGUCCGACAGUAGAAUUAGGGGUACAAGAUACCCACCUGAGAGAAAAGAAAAGAAAAAGAAGAGCAUCUCAAUCUCCUCAUAAAGUUUCAAAAGCAAGGAAGGUAUGUAUUCCCUCAAAGAGCAAAGUAGAAUUAGACUUCCACCAUACACCAUUCAUUCGCCACACAUGCACAUCUUGAUUUGGCUUAUUGAUUUGUUUCUUUGGAUCCAUGGUUUGACUAUACAAUAAAUGCCUUGUAAGUAUGUAUACUUUAUCUCCCACCUAUGAGCUCCAGAUAUUAAAGCCUUAUUAGAGUAGGGUGAGAGAGAAGACAAUGUCAUUAUGCUUUAUAUCAUAAAUACCACAUAUCUUGAGAGAAGGCAUAUACCAUCACUGCCUUGGUAAGGAUCCAGAAAUAUCACAAAAGAGAGAUCUAAGAGAGUCAUAUAAGGAAUCUUUGAGUUUUAUUUGAAAAUCUGCAAAAACCCCAGAGCUUUAGCUGAUCAAGAAUAAGAGACAUGGCACUUGGCUAGACUGUUCUAUCUUUUAACCACUCAAGACAGAAGUGACAGUUACAAGUCCCAUGGUGAAGGUAAAGUAAGUAAGUUUUAAGUCUUGACAGUUUACUCUAACUCAGAGAUAAGAUCUUAUUUAAAAAGCAUGUGUACCGUCAAUUUUUAAAAAUAUUGCAACACUUAUGAUCCAUAGCUGAGUCUAUCCUUGCUCAGGGACGAGCAAGAGGUAAGCUUGGGGGAGUUUGUUGACGGUCCUUAAGUAUCAAAUUUAAUUAUCAAAUAAAUAAAGAAAAUGAUCCAAAUGAAAUCAAAAUCUAGACUUUAGGGUUUUAUCUGACAGAAUUCCACGAGUUUUGGUGUUUGUCUAUUUCUGCAGGGGGUUAUCAGGAAAUACGGAAGAAAGGCCCACACGUCGGGAUUACAUAGAGAUAUUAACGUGCCGCGCAAUUAUCUUACAUCUAGAAGACUCCAGAAGCCACGAGACUGAAGCGGAGGCGGAACGGGGCCAGAGGCAGGGCGCCCGCCCUCCUGUCCUGGGCGCCCGCCCCCUCCCUGAGUCCAAUCAGGACUCUGCUUCGUGGGAGAUUUCCACCGACCUAAAGGAUGAAUCUAAACCAUACAAUCUAUGUCGGUUUGAUCCAAUGGCCCAUAUUCACUUGAAGGGACUAUAAAACCAGACCCCUUGGGCCCUGGAGGAGGGAGCCUCUCAACCCUAAUUCAUUAUUCUCAAGGGAGAAGAAGCCUCUGAUCAAGAUUAGAGCCACCACAUCAAUUAGAUAUCUAGAUUAGCAUAGCUACAUAGGAUUAGAACUAGAAGGAGUCAAUCUUCGAUUGGUUUCCGGAUCUGUCAGGAGGAUUCUUGGUAAUUCUCUAAUUGUGCUUCUAAUUACUUUCUAAUUAUCUUUGUUCUUCAAUAUUAUGAAUAUGACUUUGUUCUACUUCAAUAUAUUGCUUAUGACUUUGCUCUACUUGCUUAUAUUCAAGAUUAUAUUGUUCUUAGUAUAUCAUAGUUAUGUACUUGGCUUAGUUAGAUUCAAUCUAUAUACAUGCUUAGGAUCGUAUAGCGUUUAUCCAUCGGAUCCAUGGGUAAAUGAUAGAUAUUGUGUAGGUGUGGUGCUUAUACCGUAUUUAUCUGCGAUUGUACCCAAUAUGCCAGAUCGUGGGGUGGUUCGUGAUAGUGACAGCUUCAUUGAUUCUUAUAUAGUCCCCCUCUCGUGUAUUGGGCUGGCAGAGCAACAUUAUUACAAGGGAGUGAUUGCUAUAUUUCUCAUAUUCCUUGCUAAUAUCACUAUGCAUGGGCGUAGUCUUGUCUCACAAUGAUUGCUAAGUAUGCUUGCACUAAUUAUGAUAAUGCUAGACUAUAUAGUUGAGAAUAACUUAGGGAAUAUUCUUGUAGUUCGUUCUAAUACCAUGCUAAUGACUUUCUAGAGUAUCUAAUUGAGGUGCUUAUCAUAUUUAUUAUGUGGCUAGAUCAGAUUAGUUGUCCUUGUCACUAUUAUUAUUUCAUAUAUCUUUUAUGUGACAAUUAUCCCUGUAUGAAGAGUUAGAUAUAAUGUUCUCAAUUAUACAUGCAAUGAUAGAUGCUCAAUCUCAUAUUCUAUUCUGUAAUCAAUAGUGAUGAUUGCUAAUCCCUUCCCAGUGGUAAAAAUAUAAAUAACGAUACCUGGAAUACUUCCCGAUUAAAAUGCUACAUCGGUAUUAAUCUGUGCGCUUGCAGAUCCCAUUCAUUAUCUCUACAACUAAAAAUUAUGAAGAAGACCCAUCUAGCACAUCCAUGGUGAAGCCACAACUCCCUUUUUACUAUGCCAUGAUAGGCUAUCUCAUCAACUCAGGCACCACUCACCCAUGCAUGUAAAAUUGUUUUAUCGAAUUAAAAAAAGGCAUAACUCUUAAACUGAGGAUAUAAAUUAAAUUUCGAUUGCACCAUUAAAUUUCUUAUAACAAAUCCUUUUAAACAAGAUCACACAUGGAUAUAUUUAGAUAAAAUUUUAUUAAUGAAUAUUUAUCUCUACAACUAAAAAUUAUGAAGAGGACCGGUCCACAACUCUCAUUUCUUUAGUGGUCUUUUUUACUGUGCGAUGACACGCUAUCCCAUCAAUCUAGGCCCCACUCACCUAUGCAUGUAAAAUUAUUUUAGCGAAUUAAAAAAGUCAUAACUCAUAAACCAAAGAUAUAAAUUAAAUUCCGAUUGCACCAUUAAAUUUCUUAUAACAAAUCCUUUAAAACAAGAUCACACAUGGAUAUAUUCAGAUAAAAUUUUAUUAAUGAAUAUUUAUCUCUACAACUAAAAAUUAUGAAGAGGACCCGUCCACAACUCUCAUUCCUUUAGUGGUCUUUUUUACUGCGUGAUGACACGCUAUCCCAUCAACCUAGACCCUACUCACCUAUGCAUGCAAAAUUGUUUUAGCGAAUUAAAAAAAGUCAUAACUCAUAAACAAAGAUAUAAAUUAAAUUCCGAUUGCACCAUUAAAUUUCUUAUAACAAAUCCUUUAAAACAAGAUCACACAUGGAUAUAUUUAGAUAAAAUUUUAUUAAUGAAUAUUUAUCUUAUAAAGAUAAAAAUAAAUAUUUUCUUUUGUUAAGUAGAGACAAUAUUCUAGGUUCAACAAAGUAAAAAAUGUAAUCGAUUUAGAAGAAUAGUAUUUUGGUUUUAGAUUUAUGAAACUAUUAUUACAAUAUACAUAAAAAUACAUAAAUACAUAACAUAGAUAAAAAUAAUAAUAAAAUCUAGAGUAAAAAGCAUAAGAAAAAAUAAAAACAAAAUAGAGAAAAAUUUCAAAUAAUAUCAAAAGGUUACUUUUCAAAUAUCGUAAAUAUAUUUAUAGAACAUUAACAUCACUAAAUACAUCAUAGAACAUCAUUAAAUAUAUUAUAGAACAUCACAUCUAUUAUAGAUUAUAUGUAUACUAAGUGAACACCAUAAGAAACAUCAUGGAACAUCAUAUGUAUACUACGUAAACAUGACAUAACACAACAUAGAACACUAAAUAUAUAAUACAUAAACAUCACAUAUAUAUAGAAAAUAAAAAUAAAAAAUAAAAUUACUAAGAAGAAAAAUAAAAAAACAAACAUGAUUAAAAAAUGAUAAAAAUGCAUAGAGCCAAUAAAAUAAAUAAAUAAUUUAAAUAAGGAUAAAAAUAAGAUUAAAAGAAAUUAAAAUAUAAAAUAAGAAUGAAGAAACAUAGAAAACCUAAAAAAAAGAAAAACAAAUAGAAGCAAGGAAGAACAAUAAAACUAAAACCAAAAGAAAAAGAAAAUAAAAGGUAAAAUUAAAACAAGAAAAGAAUAAGGAAAGGAUAGGAAAUAAAAUAAAAUUGAAAAACUAAAACUGAAAAGAAAUGAAAAAGGAAGAAUAUAGACAGAAAAAAUAAAAUAACAAUGAAGAAACAUAGAGUAUGUGGAUUUUAAAAUCCGUAACAACGUACGGGCAUUAACCUAGUUUAUUUAGAAGAGCAAUUGCAUAUUUCAAUAGCGCGUCUCUUAUAUCAUGCUGGGGAUGACAACUUGUCUUAAGUGGUGUGAGGGAUAGGUUUGGCAUUUUUGGCACCGUUACUAAAUUUAGAGAACUUAGUCUACUUUUGGUAAUGAUGUUAAGAAUACCCAACACCUGCAUCAAACAUGUCUACAAGAUUUGCAGAUUCUAAUCCUUCCGGUUGUGAUGGUAUACCGGGGUUAGUAGCAGGAACAGCAGCAGCUAUUUGAUUUAACUGGGAUUCAAUCAUUUUAUUAAAGCUAAUUUGAUUCUUGAUGGCAGUAGAAAAAUUAUCCAUUCUAUUAUUUAUAUUUUCUAGCAUUUUAUCAUUAGAUGCCAAUUUCUUAGAUAGGUCAUCCAUUAGCUUUCCUUGAUUAGACACUAACUCUCUCAGAGGUGGAAAAUUAUUAUUAUUGUUGUAAGAACUGUUACCUUGAUAAUUACCUGAGUAGUUAGGCCUCUGUUGAUUCCAACCUUGAUUUUGUUGAGGACGGUUGUAGUAAUUGUUGUUGUUAUUGUUGAUGUAGUUCACAUCCUCAAGUAUCUCAGGGCAGUGAUUGCCUGAGUGUCCAGUGUCUCCACACUCCUCACAAGUCAUGUGAGAGUCAUAGAUGUGCAUAACUUCUUUCUUGUCUCCAGCUCUAUCGUUGAGCUUCUUCAUGAGCAGGUCUAGCUUUGCAGACAACAUGUCUACCUCCUUCAGCUGAUGCAUACCUCCACCUCUCUUGCGUGUCUGGGUCCUCUCUUCAUUCCAGCUUUGGUUGGACGCCAUCUUCUAUACAAGAGCUGUGGCUUGUGGUAUAGUAAGUGAUAAGAAUGCUCCUCCAGCUGCAGCAUCCAUGGUCUCUCGGGCACUGUUGCCGAGCCCAUGAUAAAACGUCUGCAUCAAUAGCCAACUCUCCAUUCCAUGAUGGGACAUUCUAGGAUGUAGUCUUGAAAGCGCUCCCAUGCUUCUGGAACAGAUUCAUCAUUUUGUUGCUGAAAACUUGUAAUCUUUCCACGGAGGGCAUUGGUCUUGCCCAUGGGAAAGAAUUUAGCCAGGAAGUUUGUUGAGCAGAGUGCCCACGUAGUAUUCUUCUCCUUUGUAGCGUAGAACCACUGCUUCACUCUCCCUAAUAGUGAGAAUGGGAAGAGGCGAAGUAGUAUAGCAUCUUUGGAAACUUCUGAUAUGGUAAAUGUGUUGCAUAUCUCCAGGAAGUGUUGUAGAUGAGCACUAGCAUCUUCGUGUGCCUUCCCACAGAACUGGUUGGAUUGCACCAUGUUAAUAAGUCCAGGCUCGAGCUCAAAGUUGCCAUCGAUCUCUGCAGCAGGUCCAGUGCGGAAGUUGUCCGUAGUGGGAGCUGAGAACUCGCGGAUUGAUUUGUUCGCCAUGGCUUCGAACUCUGAAGACAAGUUCCGGUGAUCUUCUUGAUUAGAUGAAGCUUCUUGCUGAAGUGUUGAUGAUCUCUUCUUGAGCUUGGCUCUCAUCUUCUUGAAUAAUGCUUUGGGAUUGUCAACAAAAUUUUCUGGAAGAUGUCUUCUAUUCAUACAUUCCCCUGCAUAAGAUAAAAUAGAAAAAUAUCGGGGUAAAACUGUAUGAGAGAAUAGAUAAGCUCAAUCAUAUUAGUGAUGCAAAUGAUAACUCAAAAUCCUUUAUUCCAUUCCUGAUUAGUAAUCAACCUUCCCCGGCAACGGCGCCAAAAAUGCUUGUUGGGUAUUCUUAACAUCACUACCAAAAGUAGACUUAGUUUUCUAAUAAUAGUAACGGUGCCAAAAAUGCCAAACCUAUCCCUCACACCACUUAAGCCAAGUUGUCAUCCCCAGCAUGAUAUAAGAGACGCGGUAUUCAAAUAUGCAAUUGCUCUUCUAAAUAAAUAAUGAAUGGGAUCUGCAAGCGCACAGAUUAAUACCGAUGUAGCAUUUUAACCGGGAAGUAUUCCAGGUAUCGUUAUUUAUAUUUUUACCACUGGGAAGGGAUUAGCAAUCAUCAAUAUUGAUUACAGAAUAGAAUAUGAGAUUGAGUAUCUAUCAUUGCAUGUAUAAUUGAGAACAAUUAUCUAACUCUUUCAUACAAGGGUAAGUGUCACAUAAAAGAUAUAUGAAAUAAUGAAUAGUGACAAAGAUAAUUAAUCUGAUCAUAACUAGCCACAUAAUAAAUAUGAUAAGCACCUCAAUUAGAUACUCUAGAAAGUCAUUAGCAUGGAAUUAGAACGAACUACAAGAAUAUUUCCUAAGUUAUUCUCAACUAUAUAGUCUAGCAUUAUCAUAAUUAGUGCAAGCAUACUUAGCAAUCAUUGUGAGACAAGACUACGGCCAUGCAUAGUGAUAUUAGCAAGGUAAAUGAGAAACAUAGCAAUCACUCCCCUGUAAUAAUAUUGCUCUGCCAGCCCAAUACACGAGAGGGGGACUAUAUAAGAAUCAGUGAAGCUGUCACUAUCACGAACUACCCCACGAUCUGGCAUAUUGGGUACAAUCGCAGAUAAAUACGGUAUAAGCACCACGCCUACACAAUAUCUGUCAUUUACCCAUGGAUCCGAUGGAUAAACGCUAUACGAUCCUAAGCAUGUAUAUAGAUCCAAUCUAACUAAGCCAAGUACAUAACUAUGAUAAACUAAGAACAAUAUAAUCUUGAAUAUAAGCAAGUAGAGCAAAGUCAUAAGCAAUAUAUUGAAGUAGAACAAAGUCAUAUUCAUAAUAUUGAAGAACAAAGAUAAUUAGGAAGCAAUUAGAAGCACAAUUAGAGAAUUACCAAGAAUCCUCUUGACAGAUCCGGAAACCAAUCGAAGAUUGACUCCUUCUAGUUCUAAUCCUAUGUAGCUAUGUUAAUCUAGAUGUCUAAUUGAUGUGGUGGCUCUAAUCUUGAUCAGGGGCUUCUUCUCCCUUGAGAAUAAUGAAUUAGGGUUGAGAGGGUCUCUCCUCCAGGGGCCAGGGGGUCUGGUUUUAUAGUCCCUUCAAGUGAAUAUGGGCCGUUGGAUCAAACCGACUUAGAUUGAACGGUUAUCCUUGAUCCUUUAGGUCGGUGGAGAUCUCCCACGAAGCAGAGUCUUGAUUGGACUCUCAGAGGGGGCAGGCGCCUAGGGCAGGAGGGCGGGCGCCCUGCCUCUCGCCCCGUUUCGCCUCCGCUUCGGUCUCGUGGCUUCUGGAGUCUUCUAGAUGUAAGAUAAUUGCGCGGCUUGUUAAUAUCUCUAUGUAAUCCCGACAUGUGGGCCUUUCUUCCGUAUUUCCUGAUAACCCCCUGCAGAAAUAGACAGACACCAAAACUCGUGGAAUUCUGUCAGAUAAAACCCUAAGUCUAGAUGUUGAUUUCAUUUGGAUCCUUUUCUUUGUUUAUUUGAUGAUUAAAUUUGAUACUUAAGGACCGUCAACAAUCACAAUGCCAGAUCAGGAAGGUCUUUCAGAACUGCUACCUUCUUUCAACAGCCCUUUUCCCUUUGCGUCAUCGGUAGUUACUUGAUGUUGGGGAUCCACCGAUGCGCUCUUUUCAGCAGUUUCUGAUGUCAAAACCUUGGUCUUUCCUUUGGCAUCCGACAUGUUUGUGGGAAAAGGGUGCUGGUCGAUUUUCAUCGGCUUAUGAGUCUUAGAGCUAUCAAACUUAAUUCUCCCAGAUUCUAUAGCUGAUUGCAACUCUUAUCUGAAUACUCUACAUUCAUUUGUGUUGUGUGAAGUUCAAUUGCCAAUUUGCAAUACCUGAUCCUUUUGAAGUCUUCUGCCGAUGGAAUCACAUGAUUUGGUGACAACUUUAUCUGUCCUUCCUGAAGCAAGAAAUCAAAUAUCCUAUCGUCUUUAGUGAUAUCAAAAGCAAAGUUCUCUUGUUCUUUCUGGCCAAAAGGACAAGACAUUGGCUUCUUACUUUUCACCCACUCUACUAAGCCGAUGACUAGUUUCUCGUCAGAAUCAGAAUCUUCUCCUUCAUCGACAAAUGAUACCUUUUUAUUCUAGUUCUUUCUAGGCUCAAAAGCUAUAGUCUCCUGAUCAGAAAUUCUCUGCACCAGAUGACUCAAAUUUUCAAACUCUUGAGAAGCAUAUCUAUCCUUGAGAUGCGGCAACAACCCUUGAAAAGCUAAAUCGGCCAGUUGCCGAUCAUCCAAAACCAAGCUAUAACACUUGUUCUUCACAUCCCGCAGCCUAUGCACAAAAUUCUCUACCGAUUCAUCAUUACGCUGUCUUAGUCUGACUAAAUUGGUGAGCUUCUUCUCAUGAACCCCAGAGAAGAAAUAUUUAUGGAACUUUUUUUCUAGAUUGUCCCAAGUAAUGACUGAGUUUGGAGGCAAGGAUAUAAACCAUGUAAAGGCCGAUCCCGACAAGGAUGAUGAGAACAGACGAACCCUUAACUCAUCUCUAUUAGCAGCCUCUCCACACUGGAUGAUGAAGCGAUUAACAUGUUCCAUUGUCGAUAUGUCAUCCUGCCCAGAGAACUUAGUAAAAUCUGGCACCUUGUACCGAUUUAGAAGAGGAAUUAGAUAAUAUGCAGAAGGAUAUGGUGUCCGAUAAGAGUAAGUGUUGACUUUAUGUUUUAUCCCAAAUUGAUCUCUCAUGACCUCUAUUAUCUUAUCGGCCCAAUAAGCAUAACCAUCCAGCCGAUGUGCUGGUUGAAUUUUUGGCACCUGCUGAUAUGCUUCUACGUGCCCCUGUGGCACACAAUCUCCAGCAAACAACAUAUUAGCCAUUACUUGUGGACCACCGAUCUACUGAGCAAGAAUUAUUGGCUGAAGUGCCGACACUUGAUUCUGAAAGCCAGCUUGUAUGUGACCUUGUUGAACCCCUACAACUUGAUGAUUUUGCUAUGUUGUAUGUGGAAAGGGCAACUGCCCUAACCAACUAUUAUUGGCAUUCAUCGGGACAGGACUUGCCGAUGGCUGGUAGUUAGCUAUCAUUGCUGGAUUGACAUACCCUGCCUGAGACAUGACCCUUUGUUGUGUCGGUAAUGGAUUUGUCGAUGAGCUUGCAUUAGGCACUGGGAAUGUUGGCACCUGGAAAAUCCUAGUAACUGCCCACACAAUAGUUGUCGUGGAAUGCUGAGGCACUUGAGUUAUCGGCGAAACUGGAGGUGCCAAAGACAAUUAAUCUGAUGCCGAUAGAAUUAUUUGUCAGGUAUGUCAGGUAUCUGAGAUAAUCUAGAAUUAUUUGUUAAAAACCACGGAGGUAUACCAUAUCCCCACCAGUUAGGAGGAACCUAACUGUUUUGAAAUACAGAUCCCAACAUCGCUGAUGCCGAUAGAUCUGUGUUGAGCUGAACCCACCCUCCUAAAGUAAUUGGAUCUGAUCUCAUCGGCGUAGAUUGCUCAUUAACCACUCUCGCCGUACUCGGAGGGGACGUGACUUCUAUUUCUGCAACGGCUGAAGGAGCUGAUGGAGCAACAACCGAUGAUAACCCCGGCUGAUGAUAGGCUGGGCCAGCAUAAAGUGGUGGUGUUUGUCCCUCUUUGAAAGUUUGAAUCACAGGGUUUGUAAAUGGUGUUGCACAACACAUUGGAGUGGUUAAUCAAAGCAUGAUUAAUUGUAGAAUUAACCAUCUCUUGAAGUUUACCAGGAUUAGGGUCAAAGGUAACCUGCCGAGGCAACGGCAAAUCUUGCUUCUGGAUAACUUCCCCACUCCUGUUCAGGCUAAAAGAUUUCAAACAAAGCUGCUUGUAUUUCUCCAUAGCCUUUGUUGGGCAUUCUUAACGUCACUACCAAAAGUACACUUAGUUUUCUAAUUCUGAUAACGGCGCCAAAAAUGCCAAACCUAUCCCUUAUGGCACUUAAGCCAAGUUGUCAUCCCCAGCAUGUAUAUAUCUCUUUCAUACACGGAUAAGUGUCACAUAAAAGAUACAUAAAGUAUGAAUGGUGACAAAGACAAUUAAUCUGAUCAACAUAACUAGCCACAUAUAAAUAUGAUAAGCACCUCAAUAGAUAUUCUAGCAAGUCAUUAGCAUGGAAUUAGGAUGAACUACAAGAAUAUUUCCCAAGUUAUUCUUAACUAUAAAGUCUAGCAUAUCAUAUUUAGUGCAAUUAUACUUGGCAAUCAUUGCGAGACAGGACUACGCCCAUGCAUAGUGAUAUUAUCAAGGAAGAUGAGAAACAUUGCAAACACUCCCCUGUAAUAAUGUUGCUCUGCCAGCCCUAUAAACGAGAGGGGGACUAUAUAAGAAUCAAUGGAGCUGUCACUACCAUGAACUACCCCGCGAUCUGGCAUAUAGGGUACAAUCAUAGAUAAAUAUGGUAUAGGCACCACGCCUACACAAUACUUAUCAUUUACCUACUGUACACAUGGAUAAACGCUAUACGAUCCUAAACAUGUAUAUAAUUCCAAUCUAACUAAGCCAAGCAUAUAACUAUGAUAAACUAAGAACAAUAUAAUUGCAAAUAUAAACAAGUAGAGCAAAGUCAUAAUCAAUAUAUUGAAGUAGAACAAAGUCAUAUUCAUAAUAUUGAAGAACUAUGAUGAACAAUUGAAGAACAAUAGAGGAAUUACCAAGAAUCCUCUUGACAGAUCCGGAAACCAAUCGAAGAUUGACUCCUUCUAGUUCUAAUCCCAUGUAGCUAUGCUAAACUAGAGAUCUAUUGAUGUGGUGGCUCUAGGGCUUGAUCAGAGGCUUCUUCUCCCGAGAUGGAUAAUGAAUUAAGGUUUCACAGAGAUAGAGGUGCUCUCCUCCAGGGGCCAGGGGGUCUGCUUAUAUAGUCCUUCCAAAUGAAUAUAGGCCGUCGGAUCAAACCGACAUUAAUCGCACGGUUUUCCUUGAUCCCUUAGGUUGGAGGAGCAUGAUCCAGAAAGUUGAACGUGAUUGGUUGCCUGGCCAGGGCGGGCGCCCUGCCCCCGGGCCCGUCCGGUCUCCCAUUCGUUCCCGUGGCUUCUGGACUCUUCUAGAUGUUAGAUAAUUGCGCGGCACGUUAAUAUCUCUAUGUAAACCCGGCGUGUGGGCCUUACUUCCAUAUUUCUUGAUAACCCCCUGCAGAAAUAGACAAACACCAAAACUCGUGGAAUUCUUUCGGGUAAAACCCUAAUUCUAGAUGCCAGUUGCAUUUGGAUCCUUUUCGUCCCUCAGCAAGGAUAAUCUCAGUGAUGGAUCAGAAGUUGCUGUAAUGUCUUUAAAAAUUGACGGUACACAUGCUUUCAAAUGAGGUCUUAUCUCUGAGUUAGAGUAAACUGUCAAGACUUAAAACUUACUCAUUUUACCUUUCACCAUGGGACUUGUAACCGUCACUUCUGUCUUGAGCCAUGUCUCUUAUUCUUGAUCAGCUAUAGCUCUGGAGUUUUUGCAGAUUUUCAAAUAAAACUUAGAGAUUCCUUGUAUGACUCUCUAAGAUCUCUCUUUUGAGGUAUUUCUGGAUCCUUACCAAGGCAGUGAUGCCUUCUCUCUUAAAGUAUGUGGUAUUUGUGGUAUAAGGCAUAGUGACAUUGCCUUUUCUCUCAUCCUACUCUAAUAAGGCUUUAAUAUCUGGAGCUCAUAGGUGGGAGAUAAAGUAUACAUACUUACAAGACAUUUAUUGUAUAGUCAAACCAUGGAUCCAAAGAAACAAGUCAAUAAGUCAAAUCAAGAUGUGCAUGUGUGGCGAAUGUAUGGUGUAUGGUGACGAUGGUGAUAACAAUGGUGAAAGUCUAAUUCUACUUGUGCUCUUUUGAGGGGAUACAUACCUCUCUUGCUCUUUUGAACUUUGUGAGGAGAAUGAGAUGCUCUAUAUUUUCUUUUUCUUUCCUCUCAGGUGGGUAUUGCACCCCUAAUUCUACUGUCGGACACUUAUCCAUU